CCGGUAAAGUUGCGGUGUAAUGUAAUAUACCGGAUUUAAAUAUAAAAAUAAAAAUAAAUAAAAAUAGUAUGAGAUACUAUUUUUAUUGGAUUUGGAGAAGUAAAAUAUGAGUUAGAAAUGACUUGUGCUGAAAUUGGAAUGAAAACAGAAGAUUUAGAAUUUUCUGUGAGAGACGGGGCAGAUAAAUUAGCAGAAAAUGCACAGUCUCAGAAAAUUAUGAAAAUUGGAGGACAAGUCAGAAAUAUUUUUAUGAGGCUAGAUUUAAGGUUUCAUAUUUUUCUGACACCCGUAGAGUGAGAAAUAAAAUCCGACAGUUAUCUGAUAAAGAUUACAGUUCGGUACAGUUUUCAGUGACCAAACGGGGUCGAAACUGAAAAGUUAAGAUAUAUUCUUACUCAGUACGUUAAACUGAGUCUACCUGUCAAAUUUGAGCUCAAUCGGACAUUCAGAAGGGUUCCGAUGGAACUUAUCAGAUUUGAGGGACUAAACUGAAAAGUGGAAUAGUUGAGGGGGCUGCUUGUGGAAAAGAGCAUUGCUCUUCUUCUCCUCCCUCAACCUGCGUACACAACCAGCCCCAAACCGACACACCCACACACGCAUGGAUAGGAGAAGAGAACCCUCUCUUUCUCUCUCUAAAUCUCUCCCAAAAUUAAGGGAAUUAGUGGAGAUUGAAGCUUGGAGGUGAAUCGUCAUCAUCUUCUUCAUCUUCUCCAUGGAUUGAAGCUAGUUUUGAGGUAAGCUUUUGCUACCCUUUAAUGGUAGAUCUCUAGAUAUGGGGUUUUGAUCUCUAGAAAUGGAUUUAGAGCUAUUCUAGCAUGCUAAAUAGACACUUGAAUACCGUAUAGCCACAUGGAAUUGUGGACAAUACUCUUUUGAGAAUUGGAAGUCGAGAUAUGCCGGGGUAGGCCAUCUCGUGGUAGAGCAAGGUCCGAAUAUGGUUAGAACACUCGCGAUUGGGUGAUGCACCAAUGAUAUUGCUUUUGAGCAAUGUUGGUAGUCGAAUCGCAAUGCCCCGAGGGGGGAAAAGCAAAUGCAAAGAAGAGUUCUUGCAUGCCGAAUGGUGAGUGAUGUUGGAACGCGUAGAGUCGUUGAGCUUCGACUUGCGUAACCACCAAGAAUGACGGAGACCCGUAAUGCACUUUCGGAGUUACGCUUAGCGAAUGUGAGUGAAUCUGGUCUCACAUCCUCCUUAAUGGACCUCUAAGUUGUUCCAAUAAGUGAAAGACCGCUCCGAGAUGCGAAAGUGCAUUGGAACCCUCGAUUACUCGAUGAGUUAAAUUGAGGUGUGAGUUGGAGAUGGAGUUGAUUGAGUUUCGAGGACGAAACUCUUAUUAAGGAGGGGAGAAUGUAAGGUACCGAACUUCUAAAAUUAUGAAGUUACGUUGUCCAUUUGGUUGGAGAGCCAUUUGAAUGGUUCCGGUAAGGUUGCGGUGUAAUGUAAUAUACCGGAUUUAAAUAUAAAAAUAAAAAUAAAUAAAAAUAGUAUGAGAUACUAUUUUUAUUGGAUUUGGAGAAGUGAAAUAUGAGUUAGAAAUGACUUGUGCUGAAAUCGGAAUGAAAACAGAAGAUUUAGAAUUUUCUGUGAGAGACGGGGCAGAUAAAUUAGCAGAAAAUGCACAGUCUCAGAAAAUUAUGAAAAUUGGAGGACAAGUCAGAAAUAUUUUUAUGAGGCUAGAUUUAAGGUUUCAUAUUUUUCUGACACCCGUAGAGUGAGAAAUAAAAUCCGACAGUUAUCUGAUAAAGAUUACAGUUCGGUACAGUUUUCAGUGACCAAACGGGGUCGAAACUGAAAAGUUAAGAUAUAUUCUUACUCAGUACGUUAAACUGAGUCUGCCUGUCAAAUUUGAGCUCAAUCGGACAUUCAGAAGGGUUCCGAUGGAACUUAUCAGAUUUGAGGGACUAAACUGAAAAGUGGAAUAGUUGAGGGGGCUGCUUGUGGAAAAGAGCAUUGCUCUUCUUCUCCUCCCUCAACCUGCGUACACAACCAGCCCCAAACCGACACACCCACACACGCAUGGAUAGGAGAAGAGAACCCUCUCUUUCUCUCUCUAAAUCUCUCCCAAAAUUAAAGGAAUUAGUGGAGAUUGAAGCUUGGAGGUGAAUCGUCAUCAUCUUCUUCAUCUUCUCCAUGGAUUGAAGCUAGUUUUGAGGUAAGGUUUUGCUACCCUUUAAUGGUAGAUCUCUAGAUAUGGGGUUUUGAUCUCUAGAAAUGGAUUUAGAGCUAUUCUAGAAUGCUAAAUAGACGAUUGAUGCUUGAAUCAUAGAUCGAUUUAAUGAUUUAUUGCCUAGUUGUAACAUAGGGCUCUAAAAUGCAAGUUUUGCUACUAGUAGGGUUUGAUCUCAUUUAACCCUCUGUAAACCUAAUUGAUAGGUCACUGAACGCGUUGGAAGCGACGGUUCGGCGUUGGAAGCGACGGUUCGGCGAUUCGUCGAGCCGGUGCAAAGUUAUUAAAGAAACGGACGUUUAGGCUUCGUUUCCGCCUGGAGGGCCGAGGCGACGUCGUAAAAUCGUGGAAACGGAUUUGAAGCACCGUAGCGAGAAACCGAAGACCUAUAAUUUCCAGAUCGCGGAUCGGAGGUCGUUUGGUGGUCGCGCACCGAUUGGGUCGAGCCGAGCGGCGUGCGCCGCGGGAGGCCGAUUGCAAGUGACGACGAGCAAUCGGAACGCGGUAAAAGGUGGGGGAGUGCCAUCCCGAAGCAAUCGGGUUUCUCCUUAUGUCUAAGUAUUUCUAUGUUGAUCAAUUAUGCAUAUUGAGCAUGAUGCAUUAUAGGGUGAUAGUUGAUGGUUGGUUCUAUAUAUAUAUAUAUUGCAUGCUUCUUGAAAGAGUAAUGUAUUUGGCUUAGUGCUUAUAUCUAGCAUGCUUGAGGUUUAUAUAUGCGAUGUGAAACCCUAUAAGAAAUGAUAGGUGUAGAUGAGAACUUAGUAAUAUAUUGGCUAUUGCAUUGGAAACUUUAAACAUGUCAUUGAUCAAGUUGCAUAUUAUGAUGUUGCAUAUAGGGUGUUUAGAAACUUGUAUCUAUAUUUGCAUGCUAGUGGUAAUGUAGCUUGGUAGAUAUAACACUUGAAUCUAGUAUGCAUGAAGUUAGUAUGUGCACCUUAACCCUAUAUGAGAUAAUAUGUAACGGAUUGGAACCUAGGCAAAUGAUAACCUAGUGUUUGUGUUGUGUGAACGAAGAACCUAGUAAAGUGUGAACUAGAGUCUUGGAAACUUGUAAAGGACGAGUGGCAUCUAGUUAAUGUUAACCUAUGACGAGUGGCAUCUAGUUGAUAGCACAUAUGAGAACCUUAGUGUAGUUGAAACACUAGAAGGUUGAGUAUUAGAUUGGCAUUGAGUUGAUGAGUUGUUAACCCUAGAUAAUAGGGUGUUCCCAGUGGAUGACACUAUCCUUAGUUGAUAGGAUGUUCCCAGUUCAUGAGAUUGGAUCGAGCUCACAUAGCCUGUCUGCACCUGUGGAGGUCGCUCCUCACAGGUAGUGCACUCCGGAGUUUGGCACGCGAGGGGGCCAGUGUAGUUGCCCUUGGACCAGUGUAGUGUCCGCAGGCGGUCUCGGGGUAGGUGAAGAGCUAGCCACCUCCCUAGGAGAUUGAUACACGUGAGACAGUGUGCGAGCCUUGUGUUCGCUGAGAGAUUGGGUGAUCAGAUGAAUGACAUCGUUGUUGAACCUAGUAGCAUGGUAGCUAACCUUUACUAUGAGUUGCAUCGACAUUGAGCAUAGUCACUUGGUAGUUGGACUAGUGGAUUUGCCUACAUACAGUGAGUGGACAUACUAUUCCUUCACCUAUGAGAUUUGAGAGGGACAGCUUGUACCUAGUAGAGCGAGAUUGAGUCGGGCAAGGAGCGGGGUAGCUCUUUGCCUAGGACCUUUGAGAUUGAGUCGGGCGAGGAGCGGGGUAGCUCUUUGCCUAGGACUUUCGAGAUUGGGUCG
rnacentral:lncRNA from 1 species